rnacentral:rRNA from 1 species
GAGUUUGAUCGUGGCUCAGAUUGAACGCUGGCGGCAGGCCUAACACAUGCAAGUCGAGCGGUAGAGAGAAGCUUGCUUCUCUUGAGAGCGGCGGACGGGUGAGUAAUGCCUAGGAAUCUGCCUGGUAGUGGGGGAUAACGCUCGGAAACGGACGCUAAUACCGCAUACGUCCUACGGGAGAAAGCAGGGGACCUUCGGGCCUUGCGCUAUCAGAUGAGCCUAGGUCGGAUUAGCUAGUUGGUGAGGUAAUGGCUCACCAAGGCGACGAUCCGUAACUGGUCUGAGAGGAUGAUCAGUCACACUGGAACUGAGACACGGUCCAGACUCCUACGGGAGGCAGCAGUGGGGAAUAUUGGACAAUGGGCGAAAGCCUGAUCCAGCCAUGCCGCGUGUGUGAAGAAGGUCUUCGGAUUGUAAAGCACCUUAAGUUGGGAGGAAGGCAGUAAAUUAAUACUUUGCUGUUUUGACGUUACCGACAGAAUAAGCACCGGCUAACUCUGUGCCAGCCGCCG